rnacentral:rRNA from 1 species
GAUGAACGCUGGCGGCGUGCCUAAUACAUGCAAGUCGAGCGAAUGGAUUAAGAGCUUGCUCUUAUGAAGUUAGCGGCGGACGGGUGAGUAACACGUGGGUAACCUGCCCAUAAGACUGGGAUAACUCCGGGAAACCGGGGCUAAUACCGGAUAACAUUUUGAACCGCAUGGUUCGAAAUUGAAAGGCGGCUUCGGCUGUCACUUAUGGAUGGACCCGCGUCGCAUUAGCUAGUUGGUGAGGUAACGGCUCACCAAGGCAACGAUGCUUAGCCGACCGGAGGGGGUGAUCGGCCACACUGGGACUGAAACACGGCCCAGACUCCUACGGGAGGCAGCAGUAGGGAAUCGUCCGCAAUGGACGAAAGUCUGACGGAGCAACGCCGCGUGAGUGAUGAAGGCUUUCGGGUCGUAAAACUCUGUUGUUAGGGAAGAACAAGUGCUAGUUGAAUAAGCUGACACCUUGACGGUACCUAACCAGAAAGCCACGGCUAACUACGUGCCAGCCGCCGCGGUAA